CAAGGCUUAGGGAUCAUUUUGAAAAAGAGGCCAAAAGAAUAUAGAGCCUUCAGUGGGAGAGCAAUUGUUUCAGACACAGAGCAGCUGCACAUAGGAAUAAGCAGUGGCUGUUGAUACGAAGCCCCAUGCAAACUCGAGGCAGUCAAAAUCCCAGCAAGGAAAGAUGAGCUCCUGGGCUGAGACUCUCAGAGGACAGUUAUGUCUAUGAAUCCAGGCUGACAGGUGCAAACAUAACCUGAGGUUUCAAGGCACUGUGACUAUCCUGAGGGCAUGGGGACAGUAAAGGCACGCUACAGCUCCCCAAUCCUUCUCUCAUAAUGGAGGGGGAAGGCUCGUGAAACUCCAAAGCCAGACCUGUGUCUUCAACUACCCUGAGCACUGGAGUAAUGUCCAAAGAGCCAAAGUUCAAUCGACAGAGGACACUGGAGAAGAUGAGGGAGCAGAGGAGCAGGGAGAAAAGUCUAGAAAGAAAACUUCUUACUCCAGACUGCUAGAACCUUGGAGUCUCUACUCAACAAUACACUCGUCCUACCCACCACGUAUAGGGGGCACAAAGUUCUGGUGCCCCAGGGAAAUCAAGAACGUUACACAUGAAGGCUUCCCUCUUCAAUGAAAGGGAUGUGUAUACCUGUUUUCCACCCAGAGGGCUGGAAGUGGAUGCAGUUAACAACCUGGUGAUCUGUGCUAUCUGUAGGGCCAGGCCACACCGGAGUCCCCCAGACUCUUACAUUUAUCCCAGACCCUUCCUCUCUAGACUUUUAGCUUGAGUAUCGUUUCUCACUGAAUAGAAACCAUCCUUUGGGGGAUGUCACAUGUACAUAUGGUGUGAUCGAGACCACCCCUGAGCCUCCCCUAGGCCCUUAAGCUUUACAGCAUUCAUGGCAUUGAGAUAAAUGUUACCAGAAAAU